CCUACGGGAGGCAGCAGUGGGGAAUCUUGCGCAAUGGGCGAAAGCCUGACGCAGCCAUGCCGCGUGAAUGAUGAAGGUCUUAGGAUUGUAAAAUUCUUUCACCGGGGACGAUAAUGACGGUACCCGGAGAAGAAGCCCCGGCUAACUUCGUGCCAGCAGCCGCGGUAAUACGAAGGGGGCUAGCGUUGCUCGGAAUUACUGGGCGUAAAGGGAGCGUAGGCGGAUAGUUUAGUCAGAGGUGAAAGCCCAGGGCUCAACCUUGGAAUUGCCUUUGAUACUGGCUAUCUUGAGUAUGGGAGAGGUUAGCGGAACUCCGAGUGUAGAGGUGAAAUUCGUAGAUAUUCGGAAGAACACCAGUGGCGAAGGCGGCUAACUGGCCCAUUACCGACGCUGAGGCUCGAAAGCGUGGGGAGCAAACAGGAUUAGAUACCCUGGUAGUCCACGCCGUAAACGAUGAGUGCUAGUUGUCGGCAUGCAUGCAUGUCGGUGACGCAGCUACGCAUAAGUACACUCCGCCGUCGGGAGGUACGGUCGGCGAAGAAGUUAAAACGUUAACUAAAUAGUAAGUUAGUUACGGUCGUUGAGACGUUGCCGACGGACGACGACGAGGGGAGGUUAGG
rnacentral:rRNA from 1 species